CCGCAAGGAGCUGCCGGCCAGGCGCCCGAUCCGUCACUAGUCUCGCCAUUUCUGAAGGCUCGGCGAAUUUGCGUUGACGGUGCUAAUUUGGAAGCACGUUGCGCCACGUUUUCUUCACCUGCUGCAGGACACUUUUUGGUAGCAACCCAGAUUAUGGGAACAAGACUAAGAAAACGCAAGGAAAGUGAACUCAAAUGUUGCCAGUCUGACAAAAAAAAACCAUGGAGUCUGAAUGGAACGUUUAGAUGUUUGAAGACUGACGAAAGUACAAGAUGGAUCAAAAUAUUAGAAAGUGAUUAUUAUAAAGUUAUUUCUUUUGUCUGGAAUGGAGAUAUGCCAAAUGCCGAAUCCAGGUGUGUGGAGAACUU